AGCCACUGUGCGUGGAGCUGCGUUUUGCUGCCGCCUGGUUCGGGAAGUUGAGUGCAUGUCAGGAAUCUGUGACACGGGGACUUAGCAGCACUGUUACCUGGCAGGCAGCAAUGAGCGUGCUGCACACUCAGCAGGUGAGCUCAGCCAUAUCCAUCCAUUUCUGCUGGAGACUUUGCAGCAUCACCUGGUAGGAGAUCCCAGCCAUCCAUAUGGAGAUUCAUUCUGGGGAAAGAAGAGCAAGAAGAGAUGCAUUAUUAUUCAGAAGCAGGAGAGGGUGGCAUGGUUGGAAGCGCUCCUGUCCAGUGGGAUAGCCAGUCUGAGCAGUGAGCCCACAGUUUGAAGGAAAAUUCAGCUUCAGAAAACAGCAUGAGCAUUUGUUCUGUGGGAUGGAGUGCAGAGUGUCUACUCUAAAACAAUUCCCCUGAAGAUGUCCUUACAGACACGGUGUGCUCGCUCAUCUGUCAUACUCCUUCAGGAUCCUUAGAAAUCAGUGCAAUUCAUGGCUUGGAUGUUCCAUGCACCGAACACAGAUUUGCACCAGCAGUGCACGGGAGCUCAGCGCCAGUCUCAGUGAAUCUCUCUGGCGAGCAAAAGCCUCAUGGGGUUAUUUGGGGUGCAAUGUGUCCUGGCUGGGAGCUCUCCAUUACUGAUUGGCAGGAGGGCAGGCAGACAAAAUGCAACUUCUGAAUGCCCAGAAAGGCGAAGAAAUUUAAAUGCUUGUGAAAAUGAGAUAAUGGAGCAGAAAAUAAUGGGAGAGAAUGAGUCAAUAUUUAAUAGCGCUCAUAUCUGAACAUAAAGCAGCACUUUCUGCAUGCACAUGGACAAAGGCCAGGCUAGAUGCAUAUCUGUGUACCCGUCUGUCAGCUUCAAACUGGCUGCGAACACUGCAGCUAUCGAAGAAGUGUCAGAGUCAGUUUUAAGGCAGGGACAUCUUUUAGCCUCGGUGAAUUGCUUUUAUUAAUUGCAAAAAUACUCUCCUCUCCCUUCUCUCCAGUGCGCCUGGUAGCACGUGGGCCCCAGAGCUGCCCCACAGCCCCAGCGCGGGACAAAGCCGUCCUUGUGCCGGGACGGGAGCGCGGCUCGGGGCGCUUCCACGCAGCGCUUGGGCGCGAGUGCCGCACAAGUUUCCAUUGUUAUGCUCUCGACAAAGAACUCCCCGGGACUGUUAGGCAACAGGAAUAAAAUUAAUUCAAUUUUUUCAGCUGAUAGAAGCUGUUUAGAGGCCUUAAAUGAGUUUCAGAACUCACGAGAAAAAUAUAGAUUUCAGUUUGCAGGGCUGAUGAAUAACAUUUGUCUCUCGACAAGCAGGGGGAAGCUUUGUGAGCAUUGAGAUUGCUUAUCUCUGCAAACACCAUGACCAGAGCCUGCAUUCUGAAGUGGGUUCCCAGGUCCUGUCAGCUCUUUGUGCCAAGAUCUCACUGAGCUCUGAGCUCCCAGCAGCUGCUCAGACAACGUGGCAUGGCAGCACUUCUUUUGCCUUUGCUUUAGAAUUGUAGAACCAUAGAAUCAUUAAGGUUGGAAAAGAUCUCUAAGGUUAUCAAGUCUAACCAUCAACCCAUGCCCACUAAGCCAUGUCUUUAAAGGCAGGGACUUCCAGUUUUCCCAGUGAAGGAUGCCUGUAUCCACACCAACACAAGGAAUAUGAUGUGAGCUCUGUUAGCAGAGCUUUUGGGGUCCCACCAACACGGUCACUGGUUAAGGAUGGGAUGCAGGUUCUCCAUGUGCAGCUGCAGCCCACGAGGUUCUGCCCUGCCACGAGACCAUGAGGAGCAAAAUCAGCAUCCCAG
ensembl:lncRNA